rnacentral:tRNA from 1 species
GCCUGGCUGGCUCGGCCUAUAGAGCAUGUGACUCUUGACCUUGGGGUCAUGAGUUCAAGCCUCAUGUUGGGCA